rnacentral:hammerhead_ribozyme from 1 species
AUCCAGCUGACGAGUCCCAACUUGGGACAAAACGCGCAUCCUGUAU